rnacentral:lncRNA from 10 species
GGGGUAUUGUUCCUAAGGCUGGCAGGGGUUAGGUCCCAUACAGCCUGGAAGAUCAUUGUAAAGAGUUUGGAUUUUUUUCUAAUUUUUUUAAGCAGAAGAGGGAUAUGAUCCAAUUUACAUCUCUAAGGAUGACUUUGGUUGCUGGGGAAGAAUGGAUUAUAGAGCAGCAAGAGUUCUCUGUGUUCUAUGAAUAGAACUAAGAUCAUGGGAGAGAACCACAGGAGACAGAUUUUAGCCCAAGACAAGUGCUUUCUAAAUGAACGAGCUCAUUUAAAGGUGGUGAGUGUCCUCCACUAGAGGUAUCCAAGAGAAGGUUAGAUGUUUCUUUCUGGGAGGAGGCUGUGAUGGUUAAUUUUAUGCGUCAACUUUGCUGGGCCACAGGGUGCCCAGAUAGUUGACUAAAUAUUACUCUGGGGGUAUCUGUUAAAGUGUCUCUGAUUGAGAUUCAUAUUUCAAUCAGCAGAUGGAGAAAAGAAGAUUACCCUUCCCAAUGUGGGUGGAAGUAACCUAGUCAACUGAAGGCCAGACCAGAACUUACAUCAUUGGCUCUCCUGAGUCUCCAGCUUGCCGGCUGCUAAUCUUGGGAUUUCUCCAUGUCAUGCCCUAUCUCCAAAUACAGUCACAUUCUGGGACCGCAGAUUAUGAACACAGGAAUGUUUUGACACUGGAGACUGUGGAGGGAACUCAGCCCAGGGUCUGAUUGGUGUCAGGCUCUGUACAUGGACACUGUGGUGGAGGUAAUUACCUGCAGCUCUAGGAGCACCCAGAGAACAAAGUCAUUAACUCAUUAGGCCAGAAGGAGACUAGGAAGACUCCACAGAGAAGGCUAUAAGGAAACAUUGCACAGGAGCGGCAGGGCAGGAAGCGUGCUUUAUGAAGAUUUACCCGGCAGCAGGUGUGAAAUUGGCAGAAGAGACAGGAGGAUGACGCUGAGAAGUGAAGGGCUUGAGGCAUAAAACAGUUAACAAACUGUUGAAGCUGUCUUGGGGAGAGCCCUAGAUCUAUUUAUUUCAAUUAACAAAGCACCAGGCUAUGUUUGAGAAAAACGUCCUUGCUUUUUUACCUCUUGCAUUGGAGCUUUCUCACACACCAUGUCAUCUGAGCCUCACUACAACCCUGGAGGAGGAAGCGCAGCAGACCUUAUUGACCCUCACACAAUGAGGAUACAAUGAAGAUUUGGAUGAAUGAAAGGGUGAUGCCAGAAUUUGUCCAUGACUCUCAAUCGCCACUUUGUUUUUAAUGAAGAUUACUGACCAGCAACAAGGCUUGACUGAGUUGAGUCUUGCCUCCUGUCUGACAGGUCCUGCCUCCAUUUUAUCCUUCUUUUGUCUCCCUCAAUCCCCAUAGGAGGACUCAGCAACAGCUCCCUGUUUGAGGUUGAGGCUUAUCCCACUGCCCGAGUUGAUCAUGAAAAUGGCAAAAAAUUUCUCCGUCCUGAAAGUUGCUUCAGAGUUUUGAUCUUCACCAUCAAUUCUGGAUUCAGCCCAGACCUCACUUCUGGACUCUCAUGUUGCAUUAAGAACUGUAAAGUGUUAUACUCUGGUUUCUCUUCAUAUCGCAUAAAUCUUUUGCCUUUUACUAAAGAACUGUAAAGCGUCUGCAUCUUACCCUACCUGAAAUCUAAUAAGUUAUUCUACCACAAUUCCUGGGUACUGGCAGAAGAUACAAGACUCCUGGGUCAGAGGUGGACAACUUAUUACUCAGCAAUAGCAGUAGAGCAGUAGCCAGAAUAUCAUCAUUGGUGGUUCCCUGACUCCCAGUUCCAACAUGGCAAUGUGUAGAGAGCCAGGUAACUCCUGCACAUUCAGUGGGUUGCAUUACAGGAAGGGAAUCCCCAGUUUAGGUAAUCCUUAUCUUUUAAAGGGAUUGUAAGCAAACAUCCCAAAUUUUGCCCUGGAGAGAGACAUUGCCGGUCAACAAACAAAUAUGCCCUCUGCCCCAGAAGAAAACACUCUAUGUUAAAGUGCUAUUAUACACACAUCCUUGAAAAGGUAGUUGGAAACAAGAGCUCUCAGUGCCUCUGCCCGGGAGAUGUGCAGAAACUUGAAAGAUUUAUGGAUAACUGAGUCCCAAUACCUUUUUCCCCCACCUCUGGGAUCUGCCUGUCUACUCUGGCCAUAGAUUCUGGG